rnacentral:rRNA from 1 species
CCUACGGGUGGCAGCAGUGGGGAAUAUUGGACAAUGGGCGAAAGCCUGAUCCAGCCAUGCCGCGUGUGUGAAGAAGGCCUUCGGGUUGUAAAGCACUUUCAGUGGGGAAGAAAGCCUUGGGGCUAAUACCCUCGAGGAAGGACAUCACCCACAGAAGAAGCACCGGCUAACUCCGUGCCAGCAGCCGCGGUAAUACGGAGGGUGCGAGCGUUAAUCGGAAUUACUGGGCGUAAAGCGCGCGUAGGCGGUCUGAUAAGCCGGUUGUGAAAGCCCCGGGCUCAACCUGGGAACGGCAUCCGGAACUGUCAGGCUAGAGUGCAGGGGAGGAAGGUAGAAUUCCCGGUGUAGCGGUGAAAUGCGUAGAGAUCGGGAGGAAUACCAGUGGCGAAGGCGGCCUUCUGGACUGACACUGACGCUGAGGUGCGAAAGCGUGGGUAGCAAACAGGAUUAGAUACCCGGGUAGUC